GACGAACGCUGGCGGCGUGCUUAACACAUGCAAGUCGAACGGAAAGGCCCUGCUUUUGUGGGGUGCUCAAGUGGCGAACGGGUGAGUAACACGUGAGUAACCUGCCCUUGACUUUGGGAUAACUUCAGGAAACUGGGGCUAAUACCGGAUAGGAGCUCCUGCUGCAUGGUGGGGGUUGGAAAGUUUCGGCGGUUGGGGAUGGACUCGCGGCUUAUCAGCUUGUUGGUGGGGUAGUGGCUUACCAAGGCUUUGACGGGUAGCCGGCCUGAGAGGGUGACCGGCCACAUUGGGACUGAGAUACGGCCCAGACUCCUACGGGAGGCAGCAGUGGGGAAUAUUGCACAAUGGGCGGAAGCCUGAUGCAGCAACGCCGCGUGCGGGAUGACGGCCUUCGGGUUGUAAACCGCUUUCGCCUGUGACGAAGCGUGAGUGACGGUAAUGGGUAAAGAAGCACCGGCUAACUACGUGCCAGCAGCCGCGGUGAUACGUAGGGUGCGAGCGUUGUCCGGAUUUAUUGGGCGUAAAGGGCUCGUAGGUGGUUGAUCGCGUCGGAAGUGUAAUCUUGGGGCUUAACCCUGAGCGUGCUUUCGAUACGGGUUGACUUGAGGAAGGUAGGGGAGAAUGGAAUUCCUGGUGGAGCGGUGGAAUGCGCAGAUAUCAGGAGGAACACCAGUGGCGAAGGCGGUUCUCUGGGCCUUUCCUGACGCUGAGGAGCGAAAGCGUGGGGAGCGAACAGGCUUAGAUACCCUGGUAGUCCACGCUGUAAACGGUGGGUACUAGGUGUGGGGUCCAUUCCACGGGUUCCGUGCCGUAGCUAACGCUUUAAGUACCCCGCCUGGGGAGUACGGCCGCAAGGCUAAAACUCAAAGGAAUUGACGGGGCCCCGCACAAGCGGCGGAGCAUGCGGAUUAAUUCGAUGCAACGCGUAGAACCUUACCUGGGUUUGACAUGGAUCGGGAGCGCUCAGAGAUGGGUGUGCCUCUUUUGGGGUCGGUUCACAGGUGGUGCAUGGCUGUCGUCAGCUCGUGUCGUGAGAUGUUGGGUUAAGUCCCGCAACGAGCGCAACCCUUGUUCACUGUUGCCAGCACGUUAUGGUGGGGACUCAGUGGAGACCGCCGGGGUCAACUCGGAGGAAGGUGGGGAUGACGUCAAGUCAUCAUGCCCCUUAUGUCCAGGGCUUCACGCAUGCUACAAUGGCUGGUACAGAGAGUGGCGAGCCUGUGAGGGUGAGCGAAUCUCGGAAAGCCGGUCUCAGUUCGGAUUGGGGUCUGCAACUCGACCUCAUGAAGUCGGAGUCGCUAGUAAUCGCAGAUCAGCAACGCUGCGGUGAAUACGUUCCCGGG
rnacentral:rRNA from 1 species